rnacentral:tRNA from 1 species
GCCGAAAUAGCUCAGCUGGUAGAGCAAUUCCCUCGUAAAGAAUAGGUCGUAGGUUCGAGUCCUAUUUUCGGCACCA